CUGGAGAGGAGGGCGUGGCCUGCUCUGAGCAGGGCAGUGUCUGCUGGACAGCUGUCUCUCGUAUCUGGCUCCAUAUAACGGCUGUACCCUGAAUGACGGACCAACAGGUAGCUGCUACUCCUGGCUUUGUGAGAGAGGGUCACACUGCACAUUGCUAGCCCGUGGGAAAGGUCCAAAUUCCAAGCUGGAAGUGUGGCUUCUCACCGAGUGUGUACUGCUUCCCCACCGUUAUGAAGCCUAAAAAUCAUAAGGAUCUAUGUAUACCCACACGUGUCCUUCAAUAGAGGAGUAGAAGGAGAGCUGACGAGAAGAGGAGAAGACCAUGUGAUCAAAGAUGCAGAGACUGGAGUGAUGCAGUCAUCAACCAAGGAAUGCUGGCAGCCACAAGGAGCUGGAAGCAACCUGGCUGAUACUUUGAUUCUGGCCUGGUGAUACUGAUUUUAGACGUCUACCCUCCAGAACUACGAAAAACAGAUUUUCAUUAUUCUAAGACACCAAAUUCAUGACUGUUUGUCCCAGCACCCACAGGAAGCUAAUACAACUUCAGAAAGUGAGGCAUCCCUGCUACAGCACAGAUGGUUCUCCCUGCUGAUUGCCUUCCCCAUCACACAUGCCCAGGCUGAAAAGAAAACAAGGGCUUUGCAAAGCCUCGCGUGGAGCGCUCCAGGGAGUGAUCCUCGGCUUCUAGGCAUGGACCGCCGGUGGGUAUCUGACAUUUUUUAGGCCUGAGAAGAGGCUAGCUCCAUUCUGCUUACUUCUCCUGGGUAGGAAGACCAGAAGACAUGGACAUCAAGCCCUUGGCAGCACUGCCCACCCCAUGGACACCAGCCUCAACAACCACAAGGAAAUAAAGCAGCCAAGCAUCCUCGGGGGGGAAAGAGAUCAACUUCUGGGGACACAAGAGAGAGCAAGAGACACAACAGAAAGCAGGAGGUGAAGGGCUAAGAUCCUGAGUGUCUGGAGAAUGGCACGUGCUCCCAAGGGGGAGACCAGUAGGCCAGCCACGCGGCCUAUCUUUCCUCUUCUCUACGGCUCUGUGCCUGGCCAGGCGCUAGGAGCAGACAUGUGCUUCCUGGGCUGGCAGCCCGGGCACAGAGGCUGGGGGGCCACAUCCCCCCAGUGAAUGCACUGACUCCUGCAAUAUCCCUGUGAGGAGUGUGGAUCCUCCCUUGUUGCUCAGCUUGGAUGGCUGGAGUCUGAAGACGGGGAGAGACCUGCCUGGGGAGGAGGGCUCCAUCCCCUGAGCACUUCUCUCUGCCAAGCUCUGAGCUAAGCACUUCAGGAACACCACAGGUAGCCGGAUUCACAGGCAAGGGGAUCAGGACUCAGGGAGAAAAUAUCACCCAAGGCCCGUCUCAGGUGCUGCAUCAGGACAGCCUGAGUCCAGAGAACCUGUUCUUAGCAGAAAUGUCCCGCUUUCCCCUCCCACCUUCUCUUUCACUCCCAGACAUUUUGGGGGGAGGUCUUUCUCCCUUUGGGACCUAGGGGCCAGGGGGCUGCCUUUGUCACUCCUAAUUCCAAGGGCUCUUCAUAGAGCAGGGCACAAGCUCAGUCCAUGGGGAGCCAGGAAAUUCUCCCUCUGCU